rnacentral:rRNA from 1 species
CCCUUAGAUGUCCUGGGCCGCACGCGCGCUACACUGAUGCAUUCAACGAGUUUCUUCCUGGUCCGAGAGGAAUGGGUAACCUUUUGAAAGUGCAUCGUGAUAGGGAUAGGCUAUUGCAAUUAUUGGUCUUCAACGAGGAAUUCCUAGUAGACGUAGUUCAUCAGACUGCAUCGAUUACGUCCCUGCCCUUUGUACACACCGCCCGUCGCUCCUACCGAUUGAAUGCUCAGGUGAGCCAUUCGGACUUUCAUCAUGCUGGUUUCCAGUUUUGAUGAAGGAAAGUCUUGCGAACCUUAUCAUUUAGAGGAAGGAGAAGUCGUAACA